AUGCUCGCUUUGGCAGCACAUAUACUAAAAUUGGAACAUUGAUACAGAGAAGAUUAGCAUGGUCCCUGCGCAAGGAUGACACACAAAUUAGUGAAGCGUUCCAUAUUUAA